GCCAGGAGGGGUGGUACGUGCCUGCAGUCUCAGCUACUCGGGAGGCUGAGGCUGGAGAUUCUCUUGAGUCCAGGAGUUCUGGGCUGUAGUGCGCUAUGCCAAUCGGGUGUCCAUGCACUGAGUUUGGGAUCAAUAUGGUGACCUCCCGGGAGCAGGGCACCACCAGGCUGCCUAAGGAGGGGUGAACUAGCCCAGGUCGAGAACGGAGCAGGUCAAAACUCCUGUGCUGAUCAGUAGUGGGAUCGCGCCUGUGAAUAGCCACUGCACUCCAGCAGAGAAUAAGAUGGACCAUAGUU
rnacentral:SRP_RNA from 1 species